rnacentral:rRNA from 1 species
AGAGCGAACGCUGGCGGCAUGCUUAACACAUGCAAGUCGCACGGGCAGGGGAAACCCUGUCAGUGGCGGACGGGUGAGUAACGCGUAGGUAUCUAUCCUUGGGUGGGGGAUAACGGUUGGAAACGACUGCUAAUACCGCAUGAUAACUGAGGUUUAAAGGCGCAAGUCGCCUGGGGAGGAGCCUGCGUACGAUUAGCUUGUUGGUGGGGUAAAGGCCUACCAAGGCGACGAUCGUUAGCUGGUCUGAGAGGAUGAUCAGCCACAUUGGGACUGAGACACGGCCCAAACUCCUACGGGAGGCAGCAGUGGGAAUAUUGGACAUGGGCGAAAGCCUGAUCCAGCAAUGCCGCGUGUGUGAAGAAGGUCUUCGGAUUGUAAAGCACUUUCGACAGGGACGAUGAUGACGGUACCUGUAGAAGAAGCCCCGGCUAACUCGCGCCAGCAGCCGC